rnacentral:lncRNA from 1 species
GUACAUGCUUUUUCUUGUUUGGGUUUCUUUUAAUUUAUCUGAAAAUGACUUAUCUUUUAAUUGCCAAGGUUUUAUAGUGUUUGUUGGAUUGUUUCAGAGAUUUUCUGAAAGUGUGUUGUUAGUGAAAAUAUUUUACUUAAACGAGGUUUUUCAUUUGGAUAUGAUGGUUCAAAGGUUUGUAGUAUUAAUCAUCUAGUAGGAAGGCAUCUUUGGCUUAGUUUCUUUAAGGUUGUACAAAUUUAUUAUAAUAAGCUGUUGGUUUCACAUCAUAUGUUCAGAAAGUUAAAGUACAAUGGAGCCCUGUACUACGAGUCAAAUUGAGUUUUGUCCCUUCUACUCGUUGUAUGUUAAAUUAAAAAGUAAAUUGGUCCUGCACCUUAGCAUGAGGUACACAUCAUGUCACUAUAUGGUUAUUCAGGCAGUUAUCUCCGUUUUUAACAGCACAAUUAGAUGAAAGUUUUAAUCAAUUUGCUCUUUGAUCAAAAGUAGAGAGUCCAAUUUGUCCAUUUUUUGAGUAGACGGGGCAAAAUGCAAUCUAACCAUUAGUACAGGGGGUCUCAAUGGUACUUUUACUGUUCAGAACCGAUUUGAGUACUUACCAUCUUGAUUAUCAACGUGAAAACUUAGCUUGAUAUUUUCCCGUUAGAGUUUUGUGAGGCGUAAGUCCGUAUCUUGGAGAUAGGGGAAGAUUGCAAGUGCUGGUUUCGAAUCUCAAACAUGUUGGAUUUCAUCCCUUAAAGGAUGAUUGAAUAACUGGAUUAAUCCCCAGUUCGGUAUUAACGUUUCUAGAAAAUUGCAAUGGAAUGAAGUUGGUGAAAGGGUUGGACGAGCGUUAAAUGUUUGAAACUUUUGUUUAUGCAGCUUGGUAUGGCCAGUGCAUUGGAAACACUGUGUGGUCAAGCAUUUGGAGCAAAACAAUACCAUAUGCUUGGGAUAUACCUUCAAAGAUCAUGGAUAGUUUUGUUUGCAACUGCCCUCUGUCUCCUUCCUAUAUAUAUCUUCACUACCCCAAUUCUGAUAGCUUUAGGCCAGGAUAAAAUUAUAGCAACGGUGGCAGGAUAUAUCAGUUAUUGGUUCAUCGGGAUCGUGUUUUCGUUCAUUGUAUCCUUCACUUGCCAGAUGUUCCUGCAAGCACAGAGCAAGAAUAUGAUUAUUGCAUACUUAGCUGCAUUCUCUAUUGGAAUCCACAUCUGUCUUUCAUGGCUUUUGACUGUGAAACUCAAGUACGGCCUUUCCGGGGCUUUACUAUCAACGAUUUUGGCCUAUUGGAUACCAAAUAUAGGUCAGCUUUUGUUUGUUACAUGUGGAGGUUGUAAAGAUACAUGGAAGGGUUUCUCAAUGUUAGCUUUCAAAGAUCUAAUGCCUGUUGUAAAGCUAUCUUUGUCAUCUGGUGCUAUGCUUUGGUAAGGUUUCUGUUAACUUAAAACAACUCUUCUUUAUGGAAUAAUAUGAACUAAAGUGUUAGAGAAGAUAUUGAUGUUGGGAAUUUUGUUGUCCUUGUCAGUCUUGAGCUUUGGUACAACACAAUCUUGGUUCUUCUAACUGGAAACUUGAAAAAUGCUCAGGUUGCAAUUGAUGCUCUUGCCAUUUGGUAAGUAAUUCGUACGUGUUUAUCCAGUUUCAAUGGUUUCACUUCUGGUUUUUUUUUUUGUUUUGAUACUAAUACAAAUAUGUUUUUGUUUUCAGUCUCAAUAUUAAUGGAUGGGAAAUGAUGAUAUCGCUAGGUUUCUUGGCUGCAGCAAGGUAUUAUUAUCAGCAUAAAGCUUGAGCCAGACCAUGGGUUUAACAUAUUGCUUGUUUUCCUGCAGUGUUAGGGUGUCGAAUGAGCUUGGAAGAGGAAGCUCCAAAGGUGCCAAGUUCUCAAUUAUGACCACAACGCUUACAUCAUUUUGCAUUGGAUGUGUGCUAUUUGUGCUCUUCUUAUUUCUUAGGGGACGUUUAGCAUACAUAUUCACAGAAAGUGAAGAAGUGGCUAACGCAGUUGCGGAUUUGUCUCCAUUGUUGGCUUGCUCCAUACUUCUAAACAGUGUUCAACCUGUCCUCUCUGGUAAAUUUUCAUUUGCUGUUAACAUUUUGUACCUUCUUGUCGAAUUUGAGUAUUUGUCGGAAUGGAAAAACAUAAACCGAAUACAUGCAUACAUGAUACAUCGAGAUUGAACAUUUAGUUUGCUCAUAUGGGAUUUUUGUUUUAAACAGGAGUUGCUGUUGGCGCUGGAUGGCAAAGCAUUGUAGCAUGGGUUAACAUUGCUUCCUACUAUUUAGUUGGCAUUCCAAUUGGUGUUGUUCUCGGAUACGUAUUCAAAAUGGAAGUCAAGGUGAUCUUUUCGAUCCGAAUCAAGUUUUGCUUGUUCCUAAUUACAUCACCUUAUCUGAUCCUAAUACUGUAUAUAUUUUACUUCCUGAACAUUUUCAGGGUGUUUGGGUUGGCAUGUUGCUGGGAACACUUCUUCAAACUGUUACACUUAUUAUUAUCACCUGGAAAACUGAUUGGGAUAAGCAGGUAAUCUUCAAAAUUUUAACUUUUGAUAGCAUCCAACAUGCUUUGAUAUUUAUGUAAACAUUAUGUGCAGGUUCUCUUGGCUCGUUCACGAGUUAAUAAGUGGUUUGUACCAGAAUCCCGGGAAACAAACGGCAACCAAGAAAAUGGUGCUUGAAGGGGUCAAUCUUGUUAUUCUUCCUAAUGGACUUAUAUUUUUUUGUUGCUAUAUAUCAUUUCUUGAAACCAUCGGCGCAUCUGCGUUAGGAUUUUGAUUUCCCAUGAUUUUUAAGAAAAGUUUUGGUGCCAUUGUGUCUUGUUUUGUUGGGUUGGCUCAUUUAGUUAACUAUUAAAAGGUAAAUGCAUUUAACAAAAUUAGCUUAGCCACCUUUUAUUAACUGCGUAAAAACAAAACUACUCGACUGAAUAUUUUAUAUUACAUAGAUUUCUGAUUGAAAUUAUGUAUAUAGAUUUUUGCUUGUUUGUAGGUUCAUGUUAUGUAUAUAAAAUUUUACAUACUUACAUAUUAUCAACUUUUAUCAUUUUUUUAUUUUUGUCACUAAAUCUAUAAAAUCAAAUAUUGUUGACAUGGUCUUUUUUUAUGUCUAAUAAUAAAUUUAGCUAUUUUAAUUUAACAGUUAUAAAAUGAUUACUUUUUAUUUUUUUUUAAAACUAAUUAAAAAAAGUCAUGGAAUUGUUGCUAUAUCAUAUCCACAACCAUCUAGAGGUCAUAAUAGUACAAGUAUUAAUGAAAAAGUUGAGUAAAAUCCAAAACAUUUAAUAGCACAUUUAACAAGAAAGUUGAGGAAAAUUCAAAAUAAUUAAAUCUUAUCGUUCUAUCUUUUCAAGACUUUUAAGGUAAACGAUCUUCUUUUGGCAUUGGGUGUAAAUUAUUAUUUAUCAUUAAAACAUUGUCAAUUUCAGUACUUGUCUCAUUGUCUAGAAAUAUAGUAUUGUGUUUUUGAACAACUGUGAAUCUUGUCAACUUGUUUUGCUAAUCUGGGUUCACACUAAAUUCCAUUAUUGUACUCUACUCGUGGUUUUUUUCUAUUUAGUUUUCCAAUUUCUUGUGCUUGACCUUUUCUGGUGCUUGAAAAUGGGGCAUUAAUGACCUUUCAGUACUACUCCUAAUUGUGUAUAAAGUUGUUCAAAUUUGUGUGUUUAGCCAAAGGAUGGGGAAUCAAUGGCAUCUACUAUACUUACUUUCUGGUCUCACCUUGUUUUGGGGUUAACCCAAAGUUAAAUUCUCGUUUUAAACUUAUUAUUUAAGUUCGAGUGUUGGUUUUUUUUAAAGUUUACAAAGUUAUUAAAAAUAAAAAAAUUGUAAAAUUGUAAAUGUUGAGAGCUACAUUUAUUGAAGUUUUAAAAAAAAUUCUAUUAUACUUACAUUCUAGGUCUUACCUUAUUUUGGGUUAACCCAAAGUUGAAGCCUUGUGUUAAAGCCUUGUCUUACCUUAUUCUAGGUCUUACCUUAUUUUGGGUUAAACCAAACUGCAUAAAUAAUAUUUGUGUAUCCAAUUUUUGUUCAUUGUUUCGAGUGCUUGAAAAUGUGCCAACCUCCCCAAUAGCUUCUUCCAGCACUUAGCUUGCUUAUUAGCCAUUGUCUUAAGAUUAACAAUAGGUAUAGAUGUAUACAAAUGUAUAGAUAAAGUUGCCCCCACCAUCUACAAUUGCGAUGUGUGGGUCUCUUUCACCAUGUGUGUAUGUUUUGUGUGAGUUUUAUCUAUUUUUUUUUCGAGUUAAUCUAGCUUUUGUCUAGUUUUUUGUCCACUAUGUAUUAUAGUGAUUGAAUUCUACACUAUAGCUGGUCCAACAUAUAUUUGUAUGUAUAUUAUACUUGUAAUUAUACUCUAAUUGUACUUGUGAAACUUAAAAAAAAAUGUAUAGAGAUAUCAUAUGCAAAUACAUUUCAAUGAAAAAAAAAACCAAAAUAGUAUAACAUUGAUAUGUUUAUGUUAUCUAUAAUAUAUAAAAACACAAGUUUGUAAAAUUUUUAAAUUGACGAAGAUAUUUUUUAUUUUUCAUCAUAUUAUUAAAUUAACUUUAAAAAUAUUUAUAAUUUUCUUAGAAUUAUUAGUUAAAAAAUUGUGUUAAUUUUAAAAUAGAAUUAUUACAUGAAUAAAUAUCUAAGCAUAAAAUAUAGAAAAAUGUUGUGAUAAUUAUAAUUAUAAUUUAAUUUAAAUUAAUAGUUAAAAAAUCACGUAAAAAAAAGUUGUGUUAAUUUUUUAAAAAAAAUAAGGUGUGCUAAUUUUAUUCAUAUAAAAUAAAGUAAUUACUUGAAUAGAGUUCUGAACAUCUUAAUUAUCACUUAAUUAAUAUUAGAGUUAUAUACCAAUUAAAUUUUAAGUUAGCUUUAUAAAUAACAAUCAAUAGUUAGGCAUAUUCAAUCAAGUACUAUCUAAGAAAAAUUACUGGUAAAAAAAAUGGAGAUGUUCAGCAUUAAUAAGUUAAAUUAUAUAGAAAAAAAGAAUGGAGAAUUAAAGUAAUGGUUUCUCGAAAAGGCAAUAUUGAAUCAUAUUCAUACAAUAAUGGCGUCGGAUAGUGGUCAAAGAUUAUUUUAAUUGAUGAUGGGGAAAUAUAAUAUUAUGAUAUUAUUUUUUAAAAGUUUAUGAUGUGUGAAACAAGUACUCUUAAAACCAUUUUUUUAAUCACUAUUAUUAAAUGUGAUUAUUAAUUUAGUUUAAAUAUCUUCCUAUUUAUCUUUAGCUAUUAUUAUAAUUGUUGCAUGUUGUUUUGCCUAUCUUUUUUUUAUCAUAGUUUAGUUUCUUGUAUAGUUCCAAAUUUUUAUAUUAUUUAAAAAGUAAGAGGAAUUAUCAUUAUCAACGAUAGGUAAUAAUGAUUAAAAAUACGUUAUUUAAAAAUUAAUUAAAAAUUAAACGCGUAAAAUUACAGGCAACGAAUGUAAUAUUAGAAACUAGUUUAUAAUCUAUAUAAAAGCACGAGCUUGGAAAAUCUUUUGAACCGACGAGAAUAUCAUUUAUUUUCUAUCAUAUUACUAAAAUCAUAAUUAAAAAUAUUUAUAAUAUUUAAUUUAGAAUUAUUAGUUAAAAAAAUUGAAGUAAAAUAGAAAUUGUGGUAACUAUACAUUUAAAAAUAAUUAUAAUUUAAUAGAAGUUGUGGUAAUCACACGUUUAAAAAUAAUUAUAACUUAAUUUACAAUUGUUAGUUAAAAAAAGUUGUGCUAAUUUUAAAAUAAAAUUAUUACUUGAAUAGAACUCUAAGUAUAAAAGAUAAGAAAAAUGUUAUGAUGAUAAUCAUAAUUACAAUUGCCAAUUAUUAGUUAAAAAACAUUUGACAUCAAAGAACCGUGCUAAUUUUAUUGAUGUAAAAUAGAGGUUUUUACUUUAAUAAAAGUCUAAACAUCUUAACCAUCACUUAAUUAAUAUUAGAGUUAUAUAUAAAUUAAAAUUUAAGUUUAGCUUUAUAAAUAACCUCCGGUAGUUAGACAUAUUUGAUCAACUAGUAAGAAAAUAAUUGAAGAUUAUUAGCAUCAAUAAGUUAGAAUUAUAUAUAAAAGAAAAGAAAUGGUUCUUCGAAGAGGCAAUAUUGAAUCAUACUCAUCGAGAAAAAUGGAAGAUUGUUUUAAUUAUUGAUAAAGUAAUAUAAUACUAUGAUUUUUUUUUAUAAUUCCGUUGUAUGUUGUUUAUUCUAUACGAAGCAAACACUUUUAAAAUGAUUUUUUAUCUAUCCGCUAUUUGUUUGAUAUUUGUGAGUUUAUUUGUAAUGAUUAAUAUUUUUGUUAUUUUUUAAAUUAUUGAUUGCAUUAGCACUAACUUAAUCAACAAAUUAAUUAUAGAAUAAAUAAAUAUCAUACAUAAUUUUAAGUAGAGUCAACUGUUACCUUUUAUUUAUUCAAUUUUUUAAUUACUCUUAUGGGUUUUGCUGAUGUGUAUGAGCAAAAAGAAAUGAUAUUGAUGUUUAGAAAAAGAACAGUUCUAACAAAAUAGAAUAGAAGAUGAACAUGAAUUAGUCUUCAUUUUCCAAUCUCUGCCUCUCCCUGUUUGCUUGGAAUUCCCUGUAAGUUUUAAGCUGUGUUUUACUUUUAAAACUGAUUUUGGUGUUGUCUCUCUUAGGAACUUCCAACUCUUUCGAGAGUUCCUUGAAGUGUCAUUUGUCGUGUAGUCAAUCAAAUCUUCAAUAAUGAUUAAUAUUGUCUUCAGGUCAUAUUGGGAUUUUGUCUUUAGGCUUCAAUGAGAACUCAAGCCUAGUUUAUAGAGCGGAAAACCUUGUUAGAUCAAGUCACGUGUGAUGCACGUACUACUUACCGAAAGAACGUGUGCGUCUUGCUCUUGAUAAGAUUCAAACCCCCAGCCUAAGGCAUAUAGGUCAUUAUGGGCCAAGUGGUACCAUACCUCCCCCAUAAUGAUCUAUAUGCUCUUAGUCGGGAGUUUGAACGCUACCAAAUGUGAGAUGUGCACGUCCCCUCAGUAGGUGUUCCAUACGUCACGUAUGAUCCGAUUUAACGAGGUGGUUCUACUUUGUGAAUCCUAUAUCAGGCUUAGGCUUUCAUUGGAGACAGGCGACAAAAUCCUAGCAUGACUCAAAGACAAUACCAAUCAUUAUCAGGGAUUCAAUCAAUUACUAAAUAUAAGACAAUUCAAAUGCUUUCCAUUAGCUUUAUAUAUUUAGCAUCAAAGUUGAAUUUUAAAAAAAAUCUGUUCUAUUUCUAAUUUUGUUGUUUUUUACCUCUCUUUUAAUAGGCAUUUCAAAUAAUAAAAGGGUAAUUCCACUUAAUAUUUGAUAUGGUUGAAAAAAGAAACAAUCUUUCUCUAUGUUUUCUUAAGCAUAGAUUUGAUAAAAGCAUGAAAAUCAUAUGUUUAAUGAUUAAUGCUUAAGAAAACCAUACGCUUCCUUGAAGUUUUUAGCAAAAUUUAAUUAUACCCCUCAAAUUUUUAAAAACUCUCAUUAUUAAUUUCACAAAAACUUUAAUCAGUAAACUUCCAAAAUUUUUAAAUAUUUUAGUAAGCCUCCCAAAACUUAUUCCCAGGAUUUGCCACUUGUUGUAAAGCAAUGGGAGGAGAUAUCAACCAGAAGCUGCUAAUAGAAGCUAAGAAGAAUGAAGAUGGAGAUGUGAAAUUUAAAGAAAAGCUAUGGACUGAGUCAAAGAAGUUGUGGAUUGUCGCCGGCCCUGCAAUUUUCACCAAGUUUUCAACCUUCGGUGUCACUAUAAUCAGUCAAGCUUUUGUUGGUCACAUUGGACCUACUGAGCUUGCUGCCUUUUCCCUUUGUUGCACUGUCCUUUUUAGGUUUGGCAAUGGUGUUCUGGUAUGUACAUCCUUCAGAUUGACAUUGCAAUGGAAUGAACUUCUUGGUGAGGCUCUUAGACUAGUGUUAAAUGUUGAAAACUUUUGUUUAUACAGAUUGGUAUGGCUAGUGCAUUGGAAACAUUGUGCGGACAAGCAUUUGGAGCAAAACGAUACCAUAUGCUUGGGAUAUACCUUCAAAGAUCAUGG